rnacentral:rRNA from 1 species
UACGUAGGGUGCAAGCGUUGUCCGGAAUUAUUGGGCGUAAAGAGCUCGUAGGCGGUCUGUCGCGUCUGCUGUGAAAACUCGGGGCUUAACCCCGGGCCUGCAGUGGGUACGGGCAGACUAGAGUGCGGUAGGGGAGACUGGAAUUCCUGGUGUAGCGGUGGAAUGCGCAGAUAUCAGGAGGAACACCGGUGGCGAAGGCGGGUCUCUGGGCAGUAACUGACGCUGAGGAGCGAAAGCGUGGGGAGCGAACAGG